UACUGCGGCAGCGGCCCCGGUACAUGACGCGCAGGUCCGGGUGGCCGCGGCAGCGCGCGGCUCGCAGCUCGCACUCGUCGCGAGGCGUUUCCCACAAUUUAUGACAGCGACAUCUGCAUGGGCCCGGAGGCGCUGUGUCCGGGGGGCUUUGCUGCAGCCAGACACAUUUCCUACUUGGGACUGAUGCUGCGGUGGAGGCCUCCGGAUCUGUCAGGGCGCCCGUGGCGAGCUCAAGGGUUCUGCGGAGCUCCUCUGUUCCCGCUUCUAAGGAACCAUCAGUGAACAUCUCUUGUUGGCCAGAGGGGCCCUGCAGGGUGCUGGGGUGCCGUGGUGACCAAGGCAGACCCCAUCACACGCUCACCGAGCUCCUGGUUUGGAGGGGCCAUAGACAGCAAAAUGCAGAGACAAAUUAAUCUGUAACUUCAAAGACUGGUAAAUGCUUUCAGGAAAAUAAAGAAGGUUGAGGAGAUGGAGAGCA